UACAGAGGGUGCAAGCGUUGUUCGGAAUUAUUGGGCGUAAAGCGCGUGUAGGCGGCUUUGCAAGUCGGGUGUGAAAGCCCUCAGCUUAACUGAGGAAGUGCGCCCGAAACUGCAGAGCUUGAAUACCGGAGAGGAUGGCGGAAUUCCCAAGUAGAGGUGAAAUUCGUAGAUAUGGGGAGGAACACCGGUGGCGAAGGCGGCCAUCUGGACGGCUAUUGACGCUGAGACGCGAAAGCGUGGGAGCAAACAGG
rnacentral:rRNA from 1 species